CUGCAUUCCUGUCUGACACACCUAGAAGCUGCUGGUAAUCAGCUCACCUCUGUGCAACUGAUUCCUUUACAGCUGACGAAAUCCCUCACUUCUGGGAAAAGGAGUGUAACCUGGAACAUUAAGGGAGACAUGGAGCAAACAUGAGGAGACAGGCUGAGGAGACAAGGAUGAAACACAAGGAGAGGAACAAAGGAACAGGAACCAGAAUCGAUGGACUGGACUGCUUACGGUGAACAACCAGUUCCUGGCCGUGCUGCUGGACCAUCUGUCUCCUCCAUGGAUGACGACGUCACCCCAAUGGAGAUAGACUAAAAGGUUCAGCAUACCAAAAGAAAAUUCUGUGAUCACCCACUUGUAUUCUGUGGUCUUCCAGGCCUUUGGGUGUUACUGACUGGUGAAAGAAGAGGAUGACAAUCAUAACAUUUCUGCUUGGGCAAUUACAGUUGAUCCUGCAACAAUUUGGUUUUUGUUUUUUUUUUUAGAUAAUUUUGUAAAUUUCAUUUCUCAAACCCUAAGCUGCUGUAAUCAAGUGUUACUAUAAAAGCAAGUAGAAGUCAAUUUUUUUUAAUGCAGCAGCUAAUUUCUUCCUGUUGGCUUUAAAGCGGGUUGACGGACCUUUUUUCACAAGAAUAUAUCUUGAAAAGUACUUGAUAUAUGAAACUAAAAUUACAUAGUACAUAUUACAUAUACAUAUUACAUACAUAUAAAAUUACAUAGUACAUAUUACAUAUUUUGUACAAAUUUUAAAGACAUUACACAGAUUUGGGACCAAUCAGGAAAAAUAAUCUCUAACCCAGCUCAAAUUAAUUAUGUUUUUUAUGCUAUUUUAUAAACCCCUUUAUAAAUCUGAAUCACAGUAGUAAAACUCAAAUAAAAUACUUUUCUUUUGGGAACUUAAGCUUACCAAGGGUAGGCCAAUGGUAAUAAAAAAUUAGAUGCUCCAAUAUAUAUGUCCAAACUGAACCAUAAUAUGUCUAUUGCAAAUUGGAGAAUGUUCUAGAAAUUUAAAUAGAUUAUUAUUUUUAUUCUAAUUUGAGUACAGUUUUUGAGAUGUUCAUUUUCAAGCAUUGCCAUAUAUAGCAUCUGAUAUGCAUUUUUUCCCCUUUUUUUGUGACAAGUAUUCUAUAUGGUUUAUUUUUUGGUAUUGUAAAAUUCAACUACAUAUCAUUCAGAAAUUAAAUUGCUGUGAACAAACAUUGGACUUUUUUUUCAUAUUUUAACUAGCCAAAACUUGAUGGUAAAAAACAACAAGAGAAAAUACAGACUUUUAUCUUUAAUGGAGUUUGAAAUAUUUAUGUUCAAAUACUGAACAUUGAUGUGUUCUUAAAGAAGACCUGAAAGUGGGUCAGUGGAAAGUUUUUCCAAAAAAAUAAAACUGAUAUGAUAUUAUUGAUGCGA
ensembl:lncRNA